UGACUUCGGGCAGCAGUCAGCUUCUCCACAUAUAACCUGGGAGUAGGAGACUCAGAAUCAAAUCUCUUCUCCCUCCUCCCUCCUGGACAGCAAGGUGAACCCCAUCCCUACUCACUGGAGCUCAGCUUUGAUUUUUAACCUCCCUUCCCCACCCUUCCAGAACACACACAGUCCCAUUCCAAAAUUGAUUUUAUAAAGACAUUUUAAACAUAAUGAUGCAACUUGGUGUGCCCUACGUGGCAAAUGUACAGUGAGGUUUAUUUUGAUCUUCAGCUACAUUUUCGGCUUUGUGAGAAAACUUAUCAUCAAACACAAUGGUCAGCAACGUUACCAAGAAGACAGAUACUCGCUCCAUGAACUCUUGUGUGUUCAUUGGGAAUCUCAACACUCUUGGGGUCAAGAAAUCUGAUGUGGAGGCAAUCUUUUCAAAGUAUGGCAAAAUUGUGGGCUGCUCCGUUCAUAAGGGCUUUGCCUUCAUUCAAUAUGUUAACAAGAGAAAUGCCCGGGCUGCCGUAGCAGGAGAGGAUGGCAGAAUGAUUUCUGGCCAGGUUUUAGAUAUUAACCCGGCUGCAGAUCCAAAAGUGAACCAAGGAAAAGCAGGUGUGAAACCCUCUGCAGCAGAGAUGUACGGCUCCUCUUUUGACUUGGACUAUGACUUUCAAUGGGAUUAUUAUGAUAGGAUGUACAUUACCCAGCACGUGUACCUCCUCCUCCUAUUGCUUGGGCUGUCGUGCCCUUGAAACGUCAGCAUGUAUCAGGAAACACCCCACGAAGGGGCAAAAGUGGCUUCAAUUCAAAGAGUGGACAGCGGGAUCUUCCAAGUCUGGAAAGUUGAAAGGAGAUGACCUUCAGGCCAUUAAGAAGGAGCUGACCCAGAUAAAACAAAAAGUGGAUUCUCUUCUGGAAAACCUGGAAAAAACUGAAAAGCAAUAGAGCAAACAAGCAGUAGAGACGAAGAAUGAUAAGUGAGAAGAGGAGCAGAGCAGCAGCUCCGUGAAGAAAGAUGAGACUAAUGUGAAGAUGGAGUCUGAGAGGGGUGCAGAUGACUUUGCUGAGGAGAGGGACCUACUGGAUGAUGAUGAUAAUGAAGAUGGGGGAUGACCAGCUGGAGUUGAUCAAGGAUGAUGAAAAAGACACUGAGGAAGGAGAGGAUGACUCUUAAGUACAUAGUGGGGUUUAGAAAUCUUAUCCCAUUACUUCUUUACCUAGGCGCUUGUCUAAGGUCAAAUUUUUCACCAGAUCCUCUCCCCUAGUAUCUUCAGCACAUGCUCACUGUCCUCCCCAUCCUUGUCCUUCCCAUGUUAAUUAAUUCAUAUUUCCCUGCACCUCGUCCCAUUUUCACUUCCUUUGACAUUCCUAGUAGUUUUGUUAAGUCUUACCCUGUAAUUUUUGCUUUUAAUUUUGAUACCUCUUUAUGACUUAACAAUAAAAAGGAUGUAUGGUUUUU